rnacentral:snRNA from 1 species
GGAUAAGGGGGAUCUGGCUGCAACAUCUGUCAUUCCAUUGAUCACCAGGGUUGAUUCAGCUGAUCUGUCUGGCUAGGCAGGUGUCCCCUUCCUCACCACACCAAGUAUGUCCCUCUCAAAGAUGUCUGUUCAAUGGAAGAUGAGCAUCCCAAAUAGAAGGAAUGUACCGAUCUUUGGUCAAGAGCAGAGGUGGUGUUCAGCCAGUUCUGACAGGUUCUGGAGAACUGGUAGCGGAUAAUUUUGGGUAGUUUGGCGAAUUGUCAAGUACCACCUCUG